rfam:Planctomycetes bacterium RBG_16_64_10 RBG_16_scaffold_104998, whole genome shotgun sequence.
GGCCGAGUGGCGGAAGUGGUAGACGCAGAGGACUUAAAAUCCUCUGGGCGGCAACGCCCGUGCGGGUUCGAGUCCCGCCUCGGCCA